AACGAACGCUGGCGGCAUGCCUAACACAUGCAAGUCGAACGAGACCUUCGGGUCUAGUGGCGCACGGGUGCGUAACGCGUGGGAACCUGCCCUUAGGUUCGGAAUAACUCCCCGAAAGGGGUGCUAAUACCGGAUAAUGUCUUCGGACCAAAGAUUUAUCGCCUUUGGAUGGGCCCGCGUUGGAUUAGCUAGUUGGUAGGGUAAAAGCCUACCAAGGCGACGAUCCAUAGCUGGUCUGAGGAUGAUCAGCCACACUGGGACUGAGACACGGCCCAGACUCCUACGGGAGGCAGCAGUGGGGAAUAUUGGACAAUGGGCGAAAGCCUGAUCCAGCAAUGCCGCGUGAGUGAUGAAGGCCUUAGGGUUGUAAAGCUCUUUUACCCGGGAUGAUAAUGACAGUACCGGGAGAAUAAGCUCCGGCUAACUCCGUG
rnacentral:rRNA from 1 species